GAUGAACGCUGGCGGCGUGCUUAACACAUGCAAGUCGAACGAAGCACCUUAUUCUGAUUUCUUCGGAAUGAAAAAUUUGGUGACUGAGUGGCGGACGGGUGAGUAACGCGUGGGUAACCUGCCUCAUACAGGGGGAUAACAGUUAGAAAUGACUGCUAAUACCGCACAAGACCACAGCACCGCAUGGUGCAGGGGUAAAAACUCCGGUGGUAUGAGAUGGACCCGCGUCUGAUUAGGUAGUUGGUGGGGUAACGGCCUACCAAGCCGACGAUCAGUAGCCGACCUGAGAGGGUGACCGGCCACAUUGGGACUGAGACACGGCCCAAACUCCUACGGGAGGCAGCAGUGGGGAAUAUUGCACAAUGGGGGAAACCCUGAUGCAGCGACGCCGCGUGAGUGAUGAAGUAUUUCGGUAUGUAAAGCUCUAUCAGCAGGGAAGAAAAUGACGGUACCUGACUAAGAAGCACCGGCUAAAUACGUGCCAGCCGCCGCGGUAAUAC
rnacentral:rRNA from 1 species